rnacentral:rRNA from 1 species
UACGUAGGGGGCAAGCGUUGUCCGGAUUUAUUGGGCGUAAAGAGCGUGUAGGCGGCCAGACAGGUCCGUUGUGAAAACUCGAGGCUCAACCUCGAGACGCCGAUGGAAACCGUCUGGCUAGAGUCCGGAAGAGGAGAGUGGGAAUUCCGUGGUGUAGCGGUGAAAUGCGCAGAUAUCAGGAAGAACACCCGUGGCUAAGGCGGCUCUCUAGUACGGUACUGACGCUGAGACGCGAAAGCGUGGGGAGCGAACAGG